rnacentral:rRNA from 1 species
AUUGAACGCUGGCGGCGUGCCUAACACAUGCAAGUCGAGCGGCAGCGCGGGAGCAAUCCUGGCGGCGAGCGGCGGACGGGUGAGUAAUGCUUGGGAAUCUGCCUGUUAGUGGGGGACAACCCGGGGAAACUCGGGCUAAUACCGCAUACGCACUACGGUGGAAAGCCGGGGACCGCAAGGCCUGGCGCUAACAGAUGAGCCCAAGUCGGAUUAGCUAGUUGGUAGGGUAACGGCCACCAAGGCGACGAUCCGUAACUGGUCUGAGAGGACGACCAGUCACACCGGAACUGAGACACGGUCCGGACUCCUACGGGAGGCAGCAGUGGGGAAUAUUGGACAAUGGGGGAAACCCUGAUCCAGCGACGCCGCGUGGGUGAAGAAGGCCUGCGGGUUGUAAAGCCCUUUCAGUGGGGAAGAAAAGCCUCGACCUAACACGUCGGGGU